UGGGAAAUAUUGGACAAUGGGCGAAAGCCUGAUCCAGCCAUGCCGCGUGUGUGAAGAAGGUCUUCGGAUUGUAAAGCACUUUAAGUUGGGAGGAAGGGCAUUAACCUAAUACGUUAGUGUUUUAACGUUACCGACAGAAUAAGCACCGGCUAACUCUGUGCCAGCAGCCGCGGUAAUACAGAGGGUGCAAGCGUUAAUCGGAAUUACUGGGCGUAAAGCGCGCGUAGGUGGUAUGUUAAGUUGGAUGUGAAAUCCCCGGGCUCAACCUGGGAACUGCAUUCAAAACUGACUGACUAGAGUAUGGUAGAGGGUGGUGGAAUUUCCUGUGUAGCGGUGAAAUGCGUAGAUAUAGGAAGGAACACCAGUGGCGAAGGCGACCACCUGGACUAAUACUGACACUGAGGUGCGAAAGCGUGGGGAGCAAACA
rnacentral:rRNA from 1 species